CAUAAAGAAAGAAGAGAGAAGAAAAAUGCCCACACUAUGAAAAGACAAGAAGGUCACAUUAGUUUGGGAAGUCAAAGAAAGAGCGGGGAGAAAAGACGAAGCGAAAUAAAACGCAACCAACGCCUAAGUACCUAUGAAGAUAA